CAAGUUGACUUAACGCGGAGCACGACGUUCCCAGAGUUCUAAUAGGGCUUCAGUGGGAGGCUUGGAUUUCAGGCAGCACUGAGCGCCUCUUUUCCCCCCAUCUUACGCCAAGGGAGUAAUUCUACACAGGCUUCAAAACAAAGAGCCCUGGCGAAAAUGCAAAUAGCCACAUGAGAGAGCGCUGUGGUUUUCUCUCUGUGGAGGCAGACACUGACACAGGGAAGGUGUAGUUAAGAAUUUAUACAUCCUAGAUGCCGCGUGGUUUUUGGAAUGGACAUCCUGUCACGUCUCCUCCCGUUGCUGCCCUCCGGCGCUCUGAUUCGCCCGGCUACUGAGUCACCGGUCUGAGCGUACCACCUCCGCAACACCGGAAUGGAAACCCAACGCACCCUAAUCACCUCCAGCGCACCUGCACCUCAUCACCACCCCUAUUUAGCCCUGGACUGUUCUGGAAGAUGUUGUGUGUGAUUGUUAAGCUUCGUGUCGUUAACUCUAUCGUUAUUUCUCUUGAUCAUUGUUAAGUAAACCUUGACCUUGUUAA